CAUGAUGUUGCCGCCCGGACCCGGCGCCCAGGAGAAGCCGCCGUUAUUGCAGAUGUACAUCUUGCCGUCAGGACCCAGCGCCGCGCCGUUCGGCCCGCCGGGAAUUUUCGCAAUGAUCUCCUUGCGUCCGUCGGGAUAAACCCGCGUCAGGGUCUGGCGGCGGAUUUCCACCAGCACCACCGAGCCAUCGGGCAUCACCACCGGCCCUUCUGGAAAUUCGAGACCGGUUGCGAUGACGCGGACGUUGGACA
rnacentral:misc_RNA from 1 species